rfam:Catonella morbi ATCC 51271 genomic scaffold Scfld4, whole genome shotgun sequence.
UCCGUCGUGAGGUGGAAUCUUAAGGAAGUCGGAUGGCAAAUCUCCGGUCUGACAAAUAGAAAUCAUAUCAGGCUAUAGCUAAGGAUAAGGUUGCUAAACAAACUGAAGUCCAAUAACCGGAUAAAAUAAUUAUUUAAAUUCUGCCUGAUUAUGCUUGACAGGGGAAAAGUUUAGUAGU